GAUCAUGGCUCAGGACGAACGCUGGCGGCGCGCCUAACACAUGCAAGUCGAACGGAGCUGAGAGGAGCUUGCUUUUCUUAGCUUAGUGGCGAACGGGUGAGUAACGCGUGAGUAACCUGCCCUGGAGUGGGAGACAACAGUUGGAAACGACUGCUAAUACCGCAUAAGCCCACGAUCCGGCAUCGGAUUGAGGGAAAAGGAUUUAUUCGCUUCAGGAUGGACUCGCGUCCAAUUAG
rnacentral:rRNA from 1 species